rnacentral:rRNA from 1 species
AUGCUUCAGAGGAGGCACUAGAAUAUUUCAGAUUGGCCUGAGUGUGUACUUUGUCCUGCACACUCUAAAGAGGACAGGGAUCAUGUAUUCUUCACAUGCAAUUUCAGAGUGGGGAUUUGGAAUUAUCUCCAAAUACAGUGGUCUGUUGGGCAUGACAUGUGUGAAAUAGCCUUUAAGGCUAGGAGGGAUUUUGGUUUGCCUUUCUUUGCUGAAGUAAUUUUCACUGCCUGUUGGGAUAUCUGGACAGUGAGGAAUGAUAAAGUUUUCAGGAAUGAGAGACCUUCUUUUGCUAAAUGGAGAUCUGGUUUUGUUAGGGACAUGUCACUGCUUGCUUAUUGAAUUAAAGCCAGAUUCAAGGAUGACUUAAUUAGAUGGGUAACUCACUUGCCUCCUUGA